GCCUCACCUGGGCUUACUCUACCAUACAAUCGGCAGUUCGUGUGAACACUGUGACCCUCGCCUCUCUUUUUAUGUAUAUACAUGGAUUUGCUGACGCCAGGCGCCACGAUACUUUACCUCACGUGUCCCCGAGGUUAAUCGGAGCGGCGCCAAGCUCAAACAAGCCCCGUGACACCUGGGCCGUUUGAUACGCUCGCUGCGACGUGGAUAUUUACAUUUAAUUUUUGUUUAUUUGUUUAUAACAUUUGUAAAUAUACAUGUGGUAAUGUUA